GUAAUACGGAGGGUGCAAGCGUUAAUCGGAAUUACUGGGCGUAAAGCGCACGCAGGCGGUCUGUCAAGUCGGAUGUGAAAUCCCCGGGCUCAACCUGGGAACUGCAUUCGAAACUGGCAGGCUAGAGUCUUGUAGAGGGGGGUAGAAUUCCAGGUGUAGCGGUGAAAUGCGUAGAGAUCUGGAGGAAUACCGGUGGCGAAGGCGGCCCCCUGGACAAAGACUGACGCUCAGGUGCGAAAG
rnacentral:rRNA from 1 species